AAGUAGUGAGUCAGAGGCUACGAGAGCAGCCCAGCCUGGCUGUGAGUGGAACUGCUCCCCACGAGCAAGAAGAGCCAGAGGGCCGGGCUGCCGUCCCCUACGACAGGAGCAGGGCAUUAGUCACCCACCCCUGCUCUAGCGCCCCGGGCUGGGACAGGGGGCAGACGGUUAGUCACCCUCCCUGCUCCAGGGCUCCAGGCGAGGCUCUGCCCUGGUCCCACCGGAACCCAGUGAGUCUGCGCGGCUCUUUCCAACCAACCGACACUUGUGUUUGUUCCCCGGAUGGUUUGGUCUUCAGGGCUUGCAAGCCAGUGGGAAGAAGCCGCUGAGCUCCUUGCCAGCCAGUAGGACGAAGCCAUUUGCCUUCCCCUACGACCUCCGUGAGGAAGGCAGAGGCUGUAGGACACGGUCAAGGGGAGCCUCGCUCCUGGCACCUGGUAGACAGUCAGACCGACUUCACUGAGCUGAGAAACGGGAUGUCUGCGCUCGCACCUCUUGCCAACAGCUUUUCUCCAAAGACAUUAUAGCACCACAUAAGGAGCUGCAGAAUUCCAAAAUGUCUCACCAGGAAGUUACAGACCAGAGAGGAGCUUCGGAAAUGAAGCUGGGACUGGAGAAUGUAACAUGGAAGGUUCAGGGUUCGGCAGGGGAGCACCACGCAGCACCCAUUGGCCAGAUCUGGCUCAGCUGAAGAUGUUUUCACGUCACCGUGCACCGGCAGAGCAAAGUCACUCUCCUAGAUUAUUUGCAGAUGGGAAGAGAUAUCUGUUUUAAUAUUUGACCGUAUUGUCUCUGCAGGGUAAAUGCAAAUAUUUGUAUACAUAAACACAUUUAAAUGAUG